UAGAAUUCAGGCACAGCGGCGCCGUCGUGCUCCAGCGACAGCACCGUUGCCCGUAGCGGUUUACCUAGGUCUGGCCAUUUUUGACUGGUUUAGGCCGAUUUCGACUGACUUUACACAUAUCCCUGCAAAAAAACACGUUAAGGAGCCUUAGUUGGCAAAAAAAAUCAUAAAAUCGAAACCUACCGGUGGUAAGGUUUCUGGGUACGGCGGCUCCGCAAGCUCUCCUUCGCGACUGGGAUUCCUCCUUCAGUCAAUCUGCAGAAAACAUAAUUGUAAAUACAAUGGUAAAAAAAUUCCACAAAACAGGAACUGGAAAGGGGCUCAUUGAAGGAGGUUGCGGGUUUUGGGCCGCCGCGACCCUGUCGAGCUUUUCUCGCAGUUUUCGGCUCACCUACCGUUUGUUUUGCUCCGAUAUGGUCACAGGAGUGCUCGAAAUUGAAUUCCAAGCGGAUAUGAGAAUUUUUACCUAUUUUGGCGGUAGGAGGUGGCUUCGAUGCGACUGCGGUCGGCGAUCGACUUCCUUCUCCAACGUUUGGUUCUUUUUUCCCCGGGAGAGGGGGGGGCUGGCAGUUAGGAUCCGAGUUCUGUAUAAUACGAAAUAUUUAUACUCAUCCCGUGUUAAUCUGGACCGUGCAUCGUGAUCAAUCUCGCUCGUCCGAUCGUGCCUAAGGAGAAAACGAAUCUAAACCAU
rnacentral:lncRNA from 1 species